rnacentral:rRNA from 1 species
CCUACGGGUGGCAGCAGUGAGGAAUAUUGGUCAAUGGACGAGAGUCUGAACCAGCCAAGUAGCGUGAAGGAUGACUGCCCUAUGGGUUGUAAACUUCUUUUAUAUGGGAAUAAAACGUGGCACGUGUGCCUUUUUGCAUGUACCUUAUGAAUAAGGAUCGGCUAACUCCGUGCCAGCAGCCGCGGUAAUACGGAGGAUCCGAGCGUUAUCCGGAUUUAUUGGGUUUAAAGGGAGCGUAGGUGGGUUGUUAAGUCAGUUGUGAAAGUUUGCGGCUCAACCGUAAAAUUGCAUUUGAUACUGGCAGUCGUGAGUACAGUAGAGGUAGGCGGAAUUCGUGGUGUAGCGGUGAAAUGCUUAGAUAUCACGAAGAACCCCGAUUGCGAAGGCAGCUUACUAGACUGUGACUGACACUGAGGCUCGAAAGUGUGGGUAUCAAACAGGAUUAGAUACCCGUGUAGUC